rnacentral:hammerhead_ribozyme from 1 species
UUACUGCUGAAGAGUCCCAAACUAGGGCGAAACAGCUGUCCAGUAC